rnacentral:rRNA from 1 species
AAUCAAGCUACAAUAAGCAUAUGGUGAAUGCCUUGGCAAUUAGCGCCGAUGAAGGACGGGGUAAGCUCCGAUAAGCCGCGGGUAGGUGCACGCAACCUGUGAACCGCGGGUCUCCGAAUGAGGAAACUCUCUACGCUUAACCGCGUAGAAUCCAUACAUGAAUACAUAGUGUAUAGGAUGGGAACCCACUGAACCGAAACAUCUAAGUAAGUGGAGGAAAAGAAAGUAAAUAAACGAUUCCGUUAGUAGUGGCGAGCGAACGCGGAAGAGCCCAAACCACAAGGGGUAACCUUUGUGGGGUUAGGACUGCAUAGUGUGAUUGUAUAGUCGGUAGGUGAACUUCACUGGAAAGUGGGGCAGAAUAGGGUAAUAGCCCCGUAACCGAAACCGAAAUACACACCGCAGUAUCCAGAGUAGUGCAGGACACGUGAAAUCCGGCAUGAAGGCGCCAGGUCCAUCUGGUAAGGCUAAAUACGACUAAUUGACCGAUAGAGUAUAGUACCGUGAGGGAAAGGUGAAAAGAACCCCGGGAGGGGAGUGAAAUAGAAUCUGAAACCGUGUGCUUCCAAGCAGAGAGAGGCCUAUGUGUAUUCGUACAUAUGGCUGAUCUCGUACUUUUUGUAGAACGGGCCGGCGAGUUACGCUGUGCGGCAAGGUUAAGUGAUUAAGUCACGGAGCCGAAGCGAAAGCGAGUCUGAAUAGGGCGACAAAGUCGUAUUGCGUAGACCCGAAACCCGGUGACCUAUCCAUGAGCAGGUUGAAGUAUGGUUAACCCCAUAUGGAGGACCGAACCCACGCCCGUUGAAACGGUCGGGGAUGACUUGUGGAUAGCGGAGAAAUUCCAAUCGAACCGGGUUAUAGCUGGUUCUCCUCGAAACAUCUUUAGGGAUGCCGUUUUGCGAACUUAUACUGGGGGUAGAGCACUGAAUAGGCUAGGGGUCGUCACUGAUUACUGAACCUUAUCAAACUCCGAAUACCAAGAUAUAUGCGCAAGGCAGUCAGGCUGCGAGAGAUAAGUUCCGUAGCCAAAAGGGAAACAGCCCAGAUCCACAGCUAAGGACCCUAAAUUCACGUUAAGUGCUAAAGGAUGUGCGUUUGCUAAAACAGCCAGGACGUUGGCUUAGAAGCAGCCACUCAUUUAAAGAGUGCGUAAUAGCUCACUGGUCGAGUGAACGUGCGCCGAAGAUUACCGGGACUCAAACGUGAUUCCGAAGCUUGGGGUGUGCCGAAAGGCACGCGGUAGAGGAGCAAUUAUUACAGGCUGAAGCCAUACCGUAAGGAGUGGUGGACAGUAAUAAAGAGAGAAUGCCGGCAUGAGUAGCGAGAGGGAAGUGAGAAUCUUCCCCGUCGAUAGAGCAAGGUUUCCUGGGGAAGGUUCGUCCUCUCAGGGUUAGUCUGGGCCUAAGGUGAGUCCGAAAGGGGUAGCCGAUGGAUAAACGGUUGAUAUUCCGUUACCAGCGUAUUGCGAUUAAGACCGAUGCAGGGACACAGGAGGAUAGUGCAGCCAUGGAGAUGGAAAGCCGUGGCGCGUAGAUAAGGCCGAGGGGCAGUGAAGUACGCCUCUCAUUAAGGAGUAUUCUACGCGGGAAGGAAUAAAGUACUGAAGUGCAUGAAUUCACACUGGCGAGAAAAUCUGCUAAGGAGCAAUAAGUUGCCAGUACCGCAAACCGACACAGGUGCUCGACAAGAGAAUUGUAAGACGAGCGAGAUAACCAUUGUUAAGGAACUCGGCAAAAUGACUGCGUAACUUCGGGAGAAGCAGUGCCAUCGCAAGAUGGUCUCAGUAAAUUGGCCCAAGCAACUGUUUACCAAAAACACAGGUCUCUGCAAACACGCAAGUGGAAGUAUAGGGGCUGACGCCUGCCCGGUGCUGGAAGGUUAAGAGGAUUUGUUAGCGCAAGCGAAGCAUUGAAUUGAAGCCCCAGUGAACGGCGGCCGUAACUAUAACGGUCCUAAGGUAGCGAAAUUCCUUGUCAGGUAAGUUCUGACCCGCAUGAAAGGCGUAAUGAUUU